GCCUACCUCUUCCAGAUACGUUUCCCCUGCAGCGGUUGCUUUGAGGGACAGACCCUCGCCUCUGGCCUACUUUUUGGAAGGCUUUGUUUUCAAGGAAGAUGGGACAUCCAGGAUAAUCACAUUGGGACAGUUCAGACAGGCCAGAAGAGGGCACCAGAUCUCAUCGCAA